GGGCCCAUAGCUCAGUUGGCUAGAGUGCGCCCAUGGCAUGGGCGAGGUCGUGGGUUCGAAUCCCACUGGGUCCACCA
rnacentral:tRNA from 3 species